CCGAAUGGGGAAACCCAGUGUGAUUCGUCACACUAUCAUUAACUGAAUCCAUAGGUUAAUGAGGCGAACCGGGGGAACUGAAACAUCUAAGUACCCCGAGGAAAAGAAAUCAACCGAGAUUCCCCCAGUAGCGGCGAGCGAACGGGGAGGAGCCCAGAGCCUGAAUCAGCAUGUGUGUUAGUGGAAGCGUCUGGAAAGGCGCGCGAUACAGGGUGACAGCCCCGUACACAAAAGCGCAUGUGCUGUGAGCUCGAUGAGUAGGGCGGGACACGUGGUAUCCUGUCUGAAUAUGGGGGGACCAUCCUCCAAGGCUAAAUACUCCUGACUGACCGAUAGUGAACCAGUACCGUGAGGGAAAGGCGAAAAGAACCCCGGCGAGGGGAGUGAAAAAGAACCUGAAACCGUGUACGUACAAGCAGUGGGAGCNNNNNNNNNNNNNNNNNNNNNNNNNNNNNNNNGGGCGUUAAGUUGCAGGGUAUAGACCCGAAACCCGGUGAUCUAGCCAUGGGCAGGUUGAAGGUUGGGUAACACUAACUGGAGGACCGAACCGACUAAUGUUGAAAAAUUAGCGGAUGACCUGUGGCUGGGGGUGAAAGGCCAAUCAAACCGGGAGAUAGCUGGUUCUCCCCGAAAGCUAUUUAGGUAGCGCCUCGUGAAUUCAUCUCCGGGGGUAGAGCACUGUUUCGGCUAGGGGGCCAUCCCGGCUUACCAACCCGAUGCAAACUGCGAAUACCGGAGAAUGUUAUCACGGGAGACACACGGCGGGUGCUAACGUCCGUCGUGAAGAGGGAAACAACCCAGACCGCCAGCUAAGGUCCCAAAGUCAUGGUUAAGUGGGAAACGAUGUGGGAAGGCCCAGACAGCCAGGAUGUUGGCUUAGAAGCAGCCAUCAUUUAAAGAAAGCGUAAUAGCUCACUGGUCGAGUCGGCCUGCGCGGAAGAUGUAACGGGGCUAAACCAUGCACCGAAGCUGCGGCAGCGAACGUAUCACCCAAGACAACUUUACGGAGUUGACGAUUGACGGAGCGAAGCGACGUCAAAGCGUUCAUUAAAGUCGAGUUGGCUUAGGGAUACGUUCGUUGGGUAGGGGAGCGUUCUGUAAGCCUGUGAAGGUGUGUCGUGAGGCAUGCUGGAGGUAUCAGAAGUGCGAAUGCUGACAUAAGUAACGAUAAAGCGGGUGAAAAGCCCGCUCGCCGGAAGACCAAGGGUUCCUGUCCAACGUUAAUCGGGGCAGGGUGAGUCGACCCCUAAGGCGAGGCCGAAAGGCGUAGUCGAUGGGAAACGGGUUAAUAUUCCCGUACUUGGUGUUACUGCGAAGGGGGGACGGAGAAGGCUAUGUUGGCCGGGCGACGGUUGUCCCGGUUUAAGCGUGUAGGUGUGUGUUCCAGGUAAAUCCGGUUCACUUUAACACUGAGGCGUGACGACGAGGCACUACGGUGCUGAAGCAACAAAUGCCCUGCUUCCAGGAAAAGCCUCUAAGCAUCAGGUAACACGAAAUCGUACCCCAAACCGACACAGGUGGUCAGGUAGAGAAUACCAAGGCGCUUGAGAGAACUCGGGUGAAGGAACUAGGCAAAAUGGUGCCGUAACUUCGGGAGAAGGCACGCUGACACGUAGGUGAAGUGAUUUACUCAUGGAGCUGAAGUCAGUCGAAGAUACCAGCUGGCUGCAACUGUUUAUUAAAAACACAGCACUGUGCAAACACGAAAGUGGACGUAUACGGUGUGACGCCUGCCCGGUGCCGGAAGGUUAAUUGAUGGGGUCAGCGCAAGCGAAGCUCCUGAUCGAAGCCCCGGUAAACGGCGGCCGUAACUAUAACGGUCCUAAGGUAGCGAAAUUCCUUGUCGGGUAAGUUCCGACCUGCACGAAUGGCGUAAUGAUGGCCAGGCUGUCUCCACCCGAGACUCAGUGAAAUUGAACUCGCUGUGAAGAUGCAGUGUACCCGCGGCAAGACGGAAAGACCCCGUGAACCUUUACUAUAGCUUGACACUGAACAUUGAGCCUUGAUGUGUAGGAUAGGUGGGAGGCUUUGAAGUGUGGACGCCAGUCUGCAUGGAGCCGACCUUGAAAUACCACCCUUUAAUGUUUGAUGUUCUAACGUGGACCCGUAAUCCGGGUUGCGGACAGUGUCUGGUGGGUAGUUUGACUGGGGCGGUCUCCUCCUAAAGAGUAACGGAGGAGCACGAAGGUUGGCUAAUCCUGGUCGGACAUCAGGAGGUUAGUGCAAUGGCAUAAGCCAGCUUGACUGCGAGCGUGACGGCGCGAGCAGGUGCGAAAGCAGGUCAUAGUGAUCCGGUGGUUCUGAAUGGAAGGGCCAUCGCUCAACGGAUAAAAGGUACUCCGGGGAUAACAGGCUGAUACCGCCCAAGAGUUCAUAUCGACGGCGGUGUUUGGCACCUCGAUGUCGGCUCAUCACAUCCUGGGGCUGAAGUAGGUCCCAAGGGUAUGGCUGUUCGCCAUUUAAAGUGGUACGCGAGCUGGGUUUAGAACGUCGUGAGACAGUUCGGUCCCUAUCUGCCGUGGGCGCUGGAGAACUGAGGGGGGCUGCUCCUAGUACGAGAGGACCGGAGUGGACGCAUCACUGGUGUUCGGGUUGUCAUGCCAAUGGCACUGCCCGGUAGCUAAAUGCGGAAGAGAUAAGUGCUGAAAGCAUCUAAGCACGAAACUUGCCCCGAGAUGAGUUCUCCCUGAGACUUAGAGUCUCCUGAAGGAACGUUGAAGACGACGACGUUGAUAGGCCGGGUGUGUAAGCGCAGCGAUCCG
rnacentral:rRNA from 1 species